rnacentral:miRNA from 14 species
UCCCAGCACUCCAGAGGGGGGGGCGGGGGGCGGAGGCGGAGGCGGAGGCGGAGGCGGAGGCGGAGGCGGAGGCGGAGGCG